UACGGAGGAUGCAAGCGUUAUCCGGAAUGAUUGGGCGUAAAGCGUCCGCAGGUGGCUAUGUAAGUCUGCUGUUAAAGAGUCUGGCUCAACCAGAUAAAGGCAGUGGAAACUACAUGGCUAGAGUGCGUUCGGGGCAGAGGGAAUUCCUGGUGUAGCGGUGAAAUGCGUAGAGAUCAGGAAGAACACCGGUGGCGAAGGCACUUUACUGGGCUAUUACUAACACUCAGAGACGAAAGCUAGGGUAGCAAAAUGGG
rnacentral:rRNA from 1 species